GCGCUGUUGGUGUAGUGGUAACACACAACCUGAUUUUGAAACGCUCUCUUCCAAAGAUCUGUGGUUGGGUCCUGGGUUCGAAUCCCAGACGGUGCG